rnacentral:rRNA from 1 species
CAGUCGCCACGGGAAUACAGAGGGUGCGAGCGUUAAUCGGAUUUACUGGGCGUAAAGCGUGCGUAGGCGGCUUUUUAAGUCGGAUGUGAAAUCCCUGAGCUUAACUUAGGAAUUGCAUUCGAUACUGGGAAGCUAGAGUAUGGGAGAGGAUGGUAGAAUUCCAGGUGUAGCGGUGAAAUGCGUAGAGAUCUGGAGGAAUACCGAUGGCGAAGGCAGCCAUCUGGCCUAAUACUGACGCUGAGGUACGAAAGCAUGGGGAGCAAACAGGAUUAGAUACCCGAGUAGUCCCUGUCUCUUAUAA